rnacentral:rRNA from 1 species
UACGUAGGGUGCGAGCGUUGUCCGGAAUUAUUGGGCGUAAAGGGCUCGUAGGCGGUUUGUCGCGUCGGGAGUGAAAUCCACUGGCUUAACUGGUGGCUUACUUUCGAUACGGGCAGACUGGAGGUAUGCAGGGGAGAACGGAAUUCCAGGUGUAGCGGUGAAAUGCGUAGAUAUCUGGAGGAACACCGGUGGCGAAGGCGGCAUCCUGGACCAACACUGACACUGAGGAGCGAAAGCCAGGGGAGCAAACGGG